rnacentral:lncRNA from 1 species
GUUUUCUAACUUCUUUGAAUUAUGUGUAUGCCUUUGACUCAGUCACCUAACCCUAAAGGGAGAAGGAGGAGAGUACUAGUUGGAGCACAGUUGGAGUUGCAUUGGAGCUAAGGAGCAAAUAUGUAGGAUCCUGGGUAUUCUGUCUUUAAGCAUUGGCUAUAGGAUCUUCUCAUAAAGGGCUUGUAAAGAACAGUGGGCUUUAAAUCAAUCCUGAAUGAAAGCCGACAGUACUUUGGUUAUGGUUCUCAAGAUAUUCAGAAGACUUCAACACAGGUACCAUUGUAAAGGGUGGACUCAGGCCAUUAUACCGCACGGACACCUGCCCUCUCUCUCCCCCUCUCUCCCUCUCCUACCCCCUUUGCCUCUCUCUCCCUCCACCCUAAAUGGGGCAGCCAGUGGGAUUCCUGGCAGAGUGAUUUGGUACGGUAUCAUAAAAUCACAUUGCCAGGGAUUUCCAACCAGCUGCUUGCCACGACACUUCAAACAUCAUCACCGUACCACCCAAUCCAAAGGCAGCCCGUUUCACCCCUCUAUAUGUAUCCACCAUCUCCAUGCUUCAUAUUCUGUCAUCAGCUUACCAGGAAGAAUUUUUCCUCAGGCCAAAGGCUCUUUUAUAGUCAGGAUAUAGCAAACAGCCUGUUCUAAUACAAAUGUUAUAUGCUCUAUAACAUAUACUUGGGUUGUUUUUCCAACUUCAGUCUCAACAACCCGCUCUAAACUGGUCAAUAUAAUAGCAGGGAUAAACCAUCCAGGAUAUUAUCUCUAAGCCAUCCUUAAAAAUCUCCACCAGCAACGGUAACCUAAUGCGGAUCUAUAUCUCUAAAGCUUGUACUUUCUGGACUGAAGAAGAAAAAUGUAACCAAAAUAUGUGGAUGUACAAGAUGAGGGAUGGACGACAUCUGGAUCUAGUGUUACGGGGGUCAGAGUUUCGUGAGGUGCAGGACUUAGCUUGCUUUGUGAACAGAUCUGUGAAAGCCCAUGUUCACAGUGGCUAAGUUCCGCUCCUCAGAGGUCCUCUCUCAUCAGCAGUGGAGUGAGACUCUGAACAUGAUGGAGGGGUGAACAAACACUAUCGUUUGGAAGAGGAGGGGGCAGGCCAGGGUCUCAUACAGGAAGGAAAUACAGGAAAUGUCCCAUUGGGGAAACUAGUAACAAUCUAAUUGUGAACCAUGCUCCCAUUUUCAAUCAGGGUGGUCAAGUCGAGGGGCACAGGCUUUGUGAAAUGCCUCUCCCGAGAGUGUUUUUCUACUGUUUGUUUUUCAGUCCAGCCUGUUUAUGUGCAAUGUGUUUGUAAUUUGUAAGGAAAUUAAAUAUGAAGUAUCAUUACGUUAUUAUUUUAUGUAGUUAUGUCCAUUCAGCGUAAUCAUUAUUAGCAGCACAUCUUGUCAAGCUCUACACUACUCUAAAUACCCCUAUUCAUAUUGUUCAAAAGGGUUCAAUGAUUUUCAAAAGAACACAAGAUAAAAAUUGUUUACACCAUUCAAACCAAUGAGGUUUCUCAAAACUAAAUCAGAACUUUAAAUCCAAUUAUCUAUACAUACUGAACCUUCUAGUCUCAAGCUUUCUACAUGUUGUGGAAACUGUAGAUCUGUAGAUUAAGUAUUAUGAUCAUGACGACUGCUGUUCUUUCUGGAAUCAUUAAGCCAGAUCUAUAUCAGGACAAAGGGACAGUUCUAUCAUGUGGUUGUGCCCCCCUGUGGUGAAAACAGAGCAUUGCGAGUCACGGGGCUCCACCUCCAGUGCCUACUGAGCUGAUAACAGUUUGACAUAGUGAACACUGGCUCAGUUCAGCAGGAACCGGAGUUAUGCCAUCUAUAGACUAUUGAAAAACUGAAAAAAUCGACGUAAGGCUUAAGAUAAUCUUGGCAAUCGACAAACUGAAAGCAAUCAGCAAUCAAGGCAAGACAGAAGGUUCCUGUUCACCCCAGUCAUGCCCUAUAGAUGACUCAAGCCCAUGGAAUGGGGGAAUACUGCUCCUGUCAUUUGUCCUCUAAAUAGAUUACAGGAGCAGAGUUUUUCCAGAUGUAUUUUCUCACAGAAUGACUAGUUUUCUGUCUCAAAUUCUAUACGACUACCAAGAUGUGCACAUUUUCUUUUAUUAUUGUACAGUUUUAAAAGAAAUAGUCCUUUGUCAUGACACCAACCCCAUGCCCUGCUUAAUGUCAAUGAUUAAUUAAAAACCUUUUCCUCCAUUGGUUUUUGCUUGUGUUUAACUGCAUUCAGUUUAAUUGUAUCCACAUUAGCUCCCCAGGAGACAUUUAUGAAGAGAUGUUUUGAGUUGCAAGUCUUGCACCUGUCUUCUAGGUCAGCUCACAGGGACAAAUAUUUCUGUUUUAUUGGGCCAUUAAGCAACAGAGGAAAUACAAAAUGAUUACUUUAUACCAUUUGAAUUGAGCAGAAUUUAUCUAUUUUGUGUUAACUCUGAAAAGAAAUCCAGAUACUUAGGUCUACCAAAAUAAAUUUGUCAAAUUUAAGUUGAAUGUGAAAUCAAAUGCUAGAAUGACAGACCUUACCUUGUUACUAAGUAUGUGAGACAGAUGGUUAGUUAAUCAAACUUCAUGUCAACCCCUAUUAUUUCCACAUAAAUUACUGACAUUUUAAGACAGAUUUUACUCCUAAACUAAUUAAGCC